UACGUAGGGGGCAAGCGUUGUCCGGAUUUAUUGGGCGUAAAGAGCGUGUAGGCGGCUAGGUAGGUCCGUUGUGAAAACUCGAGGCUCAACCUCGAGACGCCGAUGGAAACCAUCUAGCUAGAGUCCGGAAGAGGAGAGUGGAAUUCCUGGUGUAGCGGUGAAAUGCGCAGAUAUCAGGAAGAACACCCGUGGCUAAGGCGGCUCUCUGGACAGUUCCUGACGCUGAGGCACGAAGGCCAGGGGAGCAAACGGG
rnacentral:rRNA from 1 species